CAAACCAAAGCCGGCGACCGGCGCACGGGUGAGUAACACGUAUCCAACCUGCCUCAUACUCGGGGAUAGCCUUUCGAAAGAAAGAUUAAUAUCCGAUAGCAUAUAUUUCCCGCAUGGGUUUUAUAUUAAAGAAAUUCGGUAUGAGAUGGGGAUGCGUUCCAUUAGUUUGUUGGGGGGUAACGGCCCACCAAGACUACGAUGGAUAGGGGUUCUGAGAGGAAGGUCCCCCACAUUGGAACUGAGACACGGUCCAA
rnacentral:rRNA from 1 species